rnacentral:rRNA from 1 species
UCCGAACGGGUGAGUAAUGUAUCGGAACGUACCAUUCAGUGGGGGAUAACGUAGCGAAAGUUACGCUAAUACCGCAUAUUCUGUGAGCAGGAAAGCAGGGGAUCGCAAGACCUUGCGCUGAUUGAGCGGCCGAUAUCAGAUUAGCUAGUUGGUGAGGUAAAGGCUCACCAAGGCGACGAUCUGUAGCGGGUCUGAGAGGAUGAUCCGCCACACUGGAACUGAGACACGGUCCAGACUCCUACGGGAGGCAGCAGUGGGGAAUUUUGGACAAUGGGGGCAACCCUGAUCCAGCCAUGCCGCGUGAGUGAAGAAGGCCUUCGGGUUGUAAAGCUCUUUCGGCCGGGAAAAAAUCGCAUAGGUUAAUACCCUGUGUGGAUGAUGGUACCGGAAUAAGAAGCACCGGCUAACUACGUGCCAGCAGCCGCGGUAAUACGUAGGGUGCGAGCGUUAAUCGGAAUUACUGGGCGUAAAGCGUGCGCAGGCGGUUUGAUAAGACAGGCGUGAAAUCCCCGGGCUCAACCUGGGAACUGCGUUUGUGACUGUCUCACUAGAGUACGGCAGAGGGGGGUGGAAUUCCACGUGUAGCAGUGAAAUGCGUAGAGAUGUGGAGGAACACCAAUGGCGAAGGCAGCCCCCUGGGUCGAUACUGACGCUCAUGCACGAAAGCGUGGGUAGCAAACAGGAUUAGAUACCCUGGUAGUCCACGCCCUAAACGAUGCCAACUAGGUGUUGGGAGGGUAAAACCUUUUAGUACCGUAGCUAACGCGAGAAGUUGACCGCCUGGGGAGUACGGCCGCAAGGUUAAAACUCAAAGGAAUUGACGGGGACCCGCACAAGCGGUGGAUGAUGUGGAUUAAUUCGAUGCAACGCGAAAAACCUUACCUACCCUUGACAUGUUCAGGAGUCCGAAGAGAUUUGGAUGUGCUCGAAAGAGAACUGGAACACAGGUGCUGCAUGGCUGUCGUCAGCUCGUGUCGUGAGAUGUUGGGUUAAGUCCCGCAACGAGCGCAACCCUUGUCGUUAAUUGCCAUCAUUUAGAUGGGCACUUUAACGAGACUGCCGGUGACAAACCGGAGGAAGGUGGGGAUGACGUCAAGUCCUCAUGGCCCUUAUGGGUAGGGCUUCACACGUCAUACAAUGGUCGGUACAAAGGGUUGCCAACCCGCGAGGGGGAGCUAAUCCCAUAAAGCCGAUCGUAGUCCGGAUCGCAGGCUGCAACUC